ensembl:lncRNA
GAUGGAAUCCAGCGUUCUGAUUGGUUAAGAGGGAGUCGCGGGAGGUUGAGCGGAAACGUACAGUUGGUGUUCACGUUGACCCGAGCGUUCCUAUCACUGCGCACUCAAAGUAACAGGUGAGCUUUUUUCGCAACCGUUAGUUGACAUUUCAGUCUUUAGCUCGGUGGCGAUCGCCGAAAAAAACCCCGUAAAUCCCGCAAAUCGGUUUGGGGCAAUGCGAGCUUUCGCAACUGGAAAAUUAAGGUGGACAUCAUGAGCGAUGUGAAUGAAUGAGAUGAUGCGGGACCCAAUGCUGUUCAUAAAGCAUAGUAUCCUGCCUGCAAGCUGUGUUUCCUUAUAAUUCCCUGUACAGCAUGUUUUACAGGCCUAACCAAGCCCUGGGGAUCAUGUGUGCAGCCCAAGUGUGUCUCGAUCCUGCUCGCAUCUUAGAGUUAGAGUAUAGUGGGAUGAUGCUCCCUGAUGCUAUUGAGGCUUUGCCAUGGCAACCGCCUUGCCUAUCGCAUCCUGCUUUGUGCCAAUGAGGCCCCUGGAUGCACUCUCUCCCCUCCUCAGCAUCGUGGCAACCCCAGUGUUCCAGGCCACCACAUUGUUUCGCCGAUGAUUAAUUACCGUCCUGAUGAAAUGUGAAGGCUGGAAAUGUCACAGGGAUGACAUGGGCUUGUCAGUGUGUGCUAGCUGGGAGGAGCGUAUUGCAUAGAGACAUCUGAAAUGAUAUGGAGCACCAGCCACAUACCGACUUUCAAGGAAAUAGCUAAUUAUAGCAGUAUUAUGUAAUUUAAUUUUUCUUUUCUUGUUUCUUGUUUCCUGUUUAUCUUGCAAUGUCAAAAAAUGUGUUUACAAAUACAAAUUACUACAAUGCCUCCAUACAGUCGCUCAUCUCCUCACCUCCUCACCUUUUCCUCUUUACCUCCUCAAACAAUUACCACUCAUACAGAUGUGCUGUCGAUUCAAAAUGUCUGCACAGAAAGUUUUUAAUCCAUUUGUGUUUGGGAAAAUAGGGCAGGAAGGUAUCGCUUGAUGAAAAACACAAAUGACAUACAAAAUUUCCCUGAUGAAUUGAUCCAUUUACUGAAAUAAAUUGAAUUGAUGCAAAGGAUCCCAGAGGAGCAGAACAUUUUUCAGCAAUGGAUAAAAACCCUCUUGCAGCUACGGCACCGACAAGCAGCCACGCUUAUUUGUAUUACACAUAAGACUUGUGAGGAUGUGCUGACAGGCCUGUUUAUCCCGGUUAAUAAGAGCAGAUGUUUUUUCUCUGAGCAAAAAUGUAUACUAAUUAACUCGAGACACACAUGAACAACGGCAAUUAUUUAAAUUAAUCUGGUUUGCUUGUGUUAUCACAUGAGAGAGGCAUGUGUAGAAAUAGUAUCAUUCGUGUUUUAAUUCUUUAAUUGUUUACCUGUUUUAAUAGCCAAUCUGUACAAGGUAACCCUUCCCUGAAAACACCAGGUAUCCGUAUGGUAAAGCAGAUUGCAAAUGAUCAGUCAGCUCAUAGAGGUACGAGUGGGCAGCUAUCACAUCCUGUUAAACUGUAUGUUCAAAAAUGACAAGGAUGCAAUUUCAUGGCAAAUUUCUGGUUUAGUUUGAGCCUUUCAAUGUCAUAUUCAAGUCAUAUUCAAUUAUCUUUUUUUCCCCAGUCACAUAUGUUCAAACGUAUCAACUGAAUCCAUAGAUUUCAAUCUUCUCUGUUAGUUUUCCUCAUUUUUGCAACACAUCACCACACAUCCAUCCCUUGACACCGCUACUUAAAGGUUUCAAAACAUAUGGCGAAGUCAACUCUGUUGCUGUGUGAGCAGAUGUUAUUGGUUGAUUAAAAUGCAUUUGUUCUUGAACGAUUUGUGUCUGUUGGAGCAUUUCCUUCUUUGGUGUCCUAAUGAUUAGGCAGCAAAGACGGCGUGUUUCCACCUUCUGGUUUUAUGGACAACUUAUCCACACACCAUUACAGUUCAAGAUUAUGGAUGGCAGCGCUUUAGGUCAAUUUGUAAUGUGUAGUGGGAUAUCAACACAUCUGGAUGCACAGAGCACAGCAUCAUUCAUUUGGCAAUUUAGUAUACAUUGUGCGUUUGCCUGACAGUAAACAUGAGUAUCUCAUCAGUUAGCUAAAACAAAAGGAGAUUUACAAAGUACAUAUUUAUGACUCGGCUUGAAGAAUGUGCAUAGUCGCUCUCCCCUUGACCUACUCCUGUAGGAACAAAGUAGAUGCUAGGUCAAGAGAUGAUCUGUUAGACUGUAUUUUAUAAGCUAGCAGCAGUACUGCAGGAUUUUAAUCACCGAGGGCGUUUUAUAUGCAUAUGUAUAUUCAAUAUGUGGCAGUAAUUCCUCUCUGAGACUCACUGAGUGUGAACUAGUUGGUUGAGUCGACACAACUAAGCCUCCCAGAGCUGUGAAAUAGAAAUGAAAUUCUAUUUCAACCUUUCAAAAC